AGCUCAUUAAGCACCAGCCUGCGGCUGUUGAGAGCAGCGCUGGCUCCUCGCAAACCCUCUGAUUUUCAGCACCCCAGUUGUGCCUAGAGGUUUCCCAGCUGCUCCUGCCUCAGGCUGGGAGCUCUUCCCCUUUAUUUCCCUCUGCUGAAGGAGGGAAACAAGAGGUGAAUUCCCCUCAUCUGAAGGAUCCUUGGAGAGGAAGAGGGUCAGAGGAAGGACUGCAUAGACCCGGAACAAGGCAGGGAAAUAUGGAGCAUCUGGAGCUUGCACAGGAUCCCAGGAAUAUGGAAGGGCAGGAAAGCCCUGGGACAAGUUACAAACAGUGAAACUCAGCAAACCUUCUGGGGUGGCUGUCCAGGCCACAGAGUGAAGGACAAGAAAGGAGGAGGAAAAUAAAUAAAUAAAUAAA